rnacentral:rRNA from 1 species
GACGAACGCUGGCGGCGUGCUUAACACAUGCAAGUCGAACGGAAAGGCCCUGCUUUUGUGUGGUGCUCGAGUGGCGAACGGGUGAGUAACACGUGAGUAACCUGCCCUUGACUUUGGGAUAACUUCAGGAAACUGGGGCUAAUACCGGAUAGGAGCUCCUGCUGCAUGGUGGGGGUUGGAAAGUUUCGGCGGUUGGGGAUGGACUCGCGGCUUAUCAGCUUGUUGGUGGGGUAGUGGCUUACCAAGGCUUUGACGGGUAGCCGGCCUGAGAGGGUGACCGGCCACAUUGGGACUGAGAUACGGACCAGACUCCUACGGGAGGCAGCAGUGGGGAAUAUUGCACAAUGGGCGGAAGCCUGAUGCAGCAACGCCGCGUGCGGGAUGACGGCCUUCGGGUUGUAAACCGCUUUCGCCUGUGACGAAGCGUGAGUGACGGUAAUGGGUAAAGAAGCACCGGCUAACUACGUG